AGCACUCUACGGGAGGCAGCAGUGGGGAAUAUUGCACAAUGGGCGCAAGCCUGAUGCAGCCAUGCCGCGUGUAUGAAGAAGGCCUUCGGGUUGUAAAGUACUUUCAGCAGUGAGGAAGGUGGGUAUGUUAAUAGCAUAUUCAUUUGACGUUAGCUGCAGAAGAAGCACCGGCUAACUCCGUGCCAGCAGCCGCGGUAAUACGGAGGGUGCGAGCGUUAAUCGGAAUUACUGGGCGUAAAGCGCAUGCAGGUGGUUUGUUAAGUCAGAUGUGAAAGCCCGGGGCUCAACCUCGGAAUUGCAUUUGAAACUGGCAAACUAGAGUACUGUAGAGGGGGUAGAAUUUCAGGUGUAGCGGUGAAAUGCGUAGAGAUCUGAAGGAAUACCGGUGGCGAAGGCGGCCCCCUGGACAGAUACUGACACUCAGAUGCGAAAGCGUGGGGAGCAAACAGGAUUAGAUACCCUGGUAG
rnacentral:rRNA from 1 species